rnacentral:rRNA from 1 species
GACGAACGCUGGCGGCGUGCUUAACACAUGCAAGUCGAACGGAGUAGCCACCGAGUUAGUAACACGUGGGUGACCUUCCCUCCACUUCGGGCUAAGCCUGGGAAACUGGUUCUACUACCGGAUAGUGUGGGAUGGGCCCGCGGCCUAUCAGCUUGGUGGUGGGGUAAUGGCCUACCAAGGCGGCGACGGGUAGCCGGCCUGGGAGGGUGGACGGCCACAUUGGGACUGAGACACGGCCCAGACUCCUACGGGAGGCAGCAGUGGGGAAUAUUGCACAAUGGGCGGAAGCCUGAUGCAGCGACGCCGCGUGGGGGAUGACGGCCUUCGGGUUGUAAACUCCUUUCACCAUUGACGCGGUAGAUGGAGAAGAAGCACCGGCUAACUACGUGCCAGCAGCCGCGGUAAUUC